rnacentral:rRNA from 2 species
UGAGAGUUUGAUCCUGGCUCAGGACGAACGCUGGCGGCGUGCCUAAUACAUGCAAGUCGAACGCUUCUUUUUCCACCGGAGCUUGCUCCACCGGAAAAAGAGGAGUGGCGAACGGGUGAGUAACACGUGGGUAACCUGCCCAUCAGAAGGGGAUAACACUUGGAAACAGGUGCUAAUACCGUAUAACAAUCGAAACCGCAUGGUUUUGAUUUGAAAGGCGCUUUCGGGUGUCGCUGAUGGAUGGACCCGCGGUGCAUUAGCUAGUUGGUGAGGUAACGGCUCACCAAGGCGACGAUGCAUAGCCGACCUGAGAGGGUGAUCGGCCACAUUGGGACUGAGACACGGCCCAAACUCCUACGGGAGGCAGCAGUAGGGAAUCUUCGGCAAUGGACGAAAGUCUGACCGAGCAACGCCGCGUGAGUGAAGAAGGUUUUCGGAUCGUAAAACUCUGUUGUUAGAGAAGAACAAGGAUGAGAGUAACUGUUCAUCCCUUGACGGUAUCUAACCAGAAAGCCACGGCUAACUACGUGCCAGCAGCCGCGGUAAUACGUAGGUGGCAAGCGUUGUCCGGAUUUAUUGGGCGUAAAGCGAGCGCAGGCGGUUUCUUAAGUCUGAUGUGAAAGCCCCCGGCUCAACCGGGGAGGGUCAUUGGAAACUGGGAGACUUGAGUGCAGAAGAGGAGAGUGGAAUUCCAUGUGUAGCGGUGAAAUGCGUAGAUAUAUGGAGGAACACCAGUGGCGAAGGCGGCUCUCUGGUCUGUAACUGACGCUGAGGCUCGAAAGCGUGGGGAGCAAACAGGAUUAGAUACCCUGGUAGUCCACGCCGUAAACGAUGAGUGCUAAGUGUUGGAGGGUUUCCGCCCUUCAGUGCUGCAGCUAACGCAUUAAGCACUCCGCCUGGGGAGUACGACCGCAAGGUUGAAACUCAAAGGAAUUGACGGGGGCCCGCACAAGCGGUGGAGCAUGUGGUUUAAUUCGAAGCAACGCGAAGAACCUUACCAGGUCUUGACAUCCUUUGACCACUCUAGAGAUAGAGCUUCCCCUUCGGGGGCAAAGUGACAGGUGGUGCAUGGUUGUCGUCAGCUCGUGUCGUGAGAUGUUGGGUUAAGUCCCGCAACGAGCGCAACCCUUAUUGUUAGUUGCCAUCAUUUAGUUGGGCACUCUAGCAAGACUGCCGGUGACAAACCGGAGGAAGGUGGGGAUGACGUCAAAUCAUCAUGCCCCUUAUGACCUGGGCUACACACGUGCUACAAUGGGAAGUACAACGAGUCGCAAAGUCGCGAGGCUAAGCUAAUCUCUUAAAGCUUCUCUCAGUUCGGAUUGUAGGCUGCAACUCGCCUACAUGAAGCCGGAAUCGCUAGUAAUCGCGGAUCAGCACGCCGCGGUGAAUACGUUCCCGGGCCUUGUACACACCGCCCGUCACACCACGAGAGUUUGUAACACCCGAAGUCGGUGAGGUAACCUUUUGGAGCCAGCCGCCUAAGGUGGGAUAGAUGAUUGGGGUGAAGUCGUAACAAGGUAGCCGUAUCGGAAGGUGCGGCUGGAUCACCUCCUUUCUAAGGAA